rnacentral:rRNA from 1 species
GACGAACCGUGCGAACGUUGUUCGGAAUCACUGGGCUUAAAGGGCGCGUAGGCGGCCUGGUCAGUCGGGUGUGAAAGCCCGGGGCUCAACCCCGGAACGGCACCCGAGACGGCCAGGCUGGAGACCGGGAGAGGAGGGUGGAAUAGCCAGUGUAGAGGUGAAAUUCGUAGAUAUUGGCUGGAACACCGGUGGCGAAAGCGGCUCUCUGGCCCGGUUCUGACGCUGAGGCGCGAAAGCGUGGGGGAGCAAACAGG